rnacentral:rRNA from 1 species
UGCAGAAUCCCGUGAACCAUCGAAUUUUUGAACGCAAGUUGCGCCCGAGGCCUUUUUGGCCUAGGGCACGCCUGCCUGGGCGUCAGUUGGCCCUCGGCGCUCCAUGCCAUGUGUGAUCUCUCACGGCUGGAUGCGGGCCUGGCCCUUCGAGUCCCUGAGCUCGGCGGGCCAAAGCGUUUGGCUUGCCCAUUGGGGCUGGCUGUGGCGAGUGGUGGAUCGAUCGCUCAGACGAGCCGUACGUCGCCCAGCUAGACCCCUCGGGUAUAUGGCCUUGUUGAAACCCCAGAAUAGCACAUGCCGAAUGGCAUUGGCGAAACCAAGACCCCAGGUCAGGCGGGACCACCCGCCGAGUUUAAGCAUAUAAUUAAGCGGAGGAGAAGAAACUUACGAGGAUUCCCCUAGUAACGGCGAGCGAAAUGGGAACAGCCCAGCCUUGGAAUCGUGCGGGUCUUCCGCACGA